rfam:Guillardia theta CCMP2712 unplaced genomic scaffold GTITHscaffold_70, whole genome shotgun sequence.
CUCACCAUAGCUCAGUUGGCAGAGCAUCUGACUGUAGAGAUUCGCAGACAUCAGAGUGUCCUUGGUUCGAUUCCGAGUGGUGAGA